GGACAUGACGUGUGGCUGUCGUAAAAACCCUAUUUGUAAACAACCAGUCCUUUUAACUCGGGGCUGCGUCAUAAACACGGCGCGCUUGGAAGACCACGAUGUCAUCUUCCUUCUGUCAGGAGGAUCCAAGUGAAGCUACAGGAGUUUCAUUAACGUCAACAACUUGGACCGAACGGUUUGUUUUGCUUGAUGAAGAGCAGGAAGGGCAGCCUGGAGAGAAAGAGAAGCCGGGUUGAGCCCACUACCAUCAUCCACGUACCACGAGGAAGAUGAGGGAGAGAAAUGAUCCUACCAUUAAAGAGACUGUGAAAAGAACGUUGAGAACAUCACCACUCUACAGGAAGACACAGUCCAGUAAUGGGUGUCAGAAUUUCAGUAGUGAACGACAGGAAGGACUGAUGCAUUUACUGAGACGGGACGUGAGGGCCUACUCUGCGUGCUCAGAGUUCAAGCCCAGCAGGCUGCAGCGGGCCUGACCUAUUCCGGAACAGCAGCACAGUCUUUAGAUGACUCCUCUGAAGAUGAAAACAUGGCGAGUUCUUCUCAAGAGAAGCAGUACAGGUGUGCCUCAGCUCCACGGUCCCUCCUGCAGCCUCCGCUCCUGAUGCUAACCUCAUGUCUCCAUCACACCAAGCAGCAGACCUGGAUUGACAGACCUUUCUCCAGAGCUGCCCCCUCCCUCUGAAACCCCCCUCUCCAAAACACUAUUUGUGUAGUUUUUAAAGUAUUUUUUGCAUGAGAAUUGUUGAUCAUAACAUUUCCAGCAGAUGCCUUAAUGUAAUGUUUGUGCACAAUAAAUGACAUUGA